rnacentral:misc_RNA from 1 species
GAUGAAGAACGUAGCGAAAUGCGAUAAGUAAUGUGAAUUGCAGAAUUCAGUGAAUCAUCGAAUCUUUGAACGCACAUUGCGCCCGCCAGUAUUCUGGCGGGCAUGCCUGUUCGAGCGUCAUUACAACCCUCAGGCCCCCGGGCCUGGCGUUGGGGAUCGGCGGAGCCCCCCGUGGGCACACGCCGUCCCCCAAAUACAGUGGCGGUCCCGCCGCAGCUUCCAUCGCGUAGUAGCUAACACCUCGCGACUGGAGAGCGGCGCGGCCACGCCGUAAAACACCCAACUCUUCUGAAGUUGACCUCGAAUCAGGUAGGAACACCCGCUGAACUUAAGCAUAUCAAUAAGCGGAGGA